rnacentral:rRNA from 1 species
GGGUCAGUAGGUUGGUCGUGCCACCGGUACGUACUGGUCUCACUAAUUCCUCCCUCCUGAAGAACCGUAAUGCCAUUAAUUUGGUGUUGCGGGGAAACAGGACUGUUACUUUGAAAAAAUUAGAGUGUUUAAAGCAAGCUAACGCUUGAAUACAUUAGCAUGGAAUAAUGAAAUAGGACGAUCGAUCCUAUUUUGUUGGUUUCUAGGAUUGACGUA